GGAAGGGAUAGCCUUCGUUUCCACGAUGACUCUCUGGAUUAGGUUUAAGGGCAGUAUCAGCCUGAAACAAGUAUUCUGGCAUCUUGUCUCGUAGGUGCUUUACUCAAAAAGUAGACAGAUGUCUACUUUUGGAGUAAAGACCUACAUUCAGCUCAAGACCUGAAUGACCUGACUUUUCUUUCAUGCUAGAGAUGAAGUCAGUGGAAGAGGGAAAAAAAAAUAUUGAAAGAGUGCAUUUGACAACGGUGGGAGAGCAGAGAGGAGGGACUUCCAAGACAUCUUUGCCGCUCAGGUGGACUCCAGGUGACUGAGGGUGACGGAACAGGAAAAGCGAAGAAUGGUUGUGCAUCUUUCUUAAAAGCCAUGUGCACCUGUUGGUGAGAUUUUGUUUCUGAUAAUAGCUUCUUUCUGCCCUUCUAGAGAGUUUGUAGUGGCUGAUGUAUGAACAAAGGAGACUGCUACUUUGUACAAAGAAGAUGGCUAAAGAUGAACCUUCUCUAAAGCAGGGAAAAGUGUUACAUAAAACAUAAUUUUUUUUUUUCUCAAACAAGAAACGUCCUUACAGUUCUAAGCCAUUUUCAGGAUACUUUCAAAACUGAGAAAAACAUCUGGUAACUAAAUCCUUUCUUUAAAAAUGCAUUUAUUCUUGUUAAUGUAGGAGUCAAGACCCUUAGCUGUGACAAUAUGGAAAGAAUCAUAAUUAUGUCCAAGAGUGUAGAACUAAAGUAGAUUUUUCAUAAACACUGGGAGUCCAUUUUAAUAUGUAGAUUAUAUGGCAGCAAGGCAAUAAUUUUAAAUUCCACCGCUUCUCCAUAAGUUAUUUCCUGAUAAUUCUGCUUGUAAUCGUUUCACCCCUCCCAAACCUACAUAUGCAGGCAGACUCUUUGUCACAGCUGCUCACUGGACAUCUCCGCAGUGGAUAUUCCAAAGUUUCCUCGAAUCCAGCCAACCUCCCAGCAAGAUGGUUGCCAGAUCACCAGGAGGGAAGAUUCAGUCUGAGAUCAUUUCAGAUUCAGCUCUCCUGCCAAAGCUGCUGGGCAUACAUACGGUGCAAAGGGAUGCUCCCACACAAGGAUACGCCUUCGAGACUGGGGUAGAUAACUGUUUUGCCUAACUUCAUAGAGACAGAGAAAGGUAAACAAAAUGAGAAGAGAUAAGCAUAUGUUUCAAAUGAAAGAGCAAGAAAAAAACCCUGAAAAACCCUAAUGAAAGAGAGAUAAAUAAUUUACUUGAUAAAAAGUUGAAAGAAAUAGCAAUAAGAAUGUUAAGUGACUUGGAAAAAUGGUAGAUGUGCAAGUGAGAAUUUCAACAAAGAACUAGAAAAUAUAAAAAAGAACCAAUGAGAACUGAAGAAUACAGUGAAAGUGAAAGUGUUAGUUGCUCAAUCGUGUCUGACUCUUUGUGACACCAUGGACUGUAGUCUGCCAUGCUCCUCUGUCCAUGGAAUUCUCCAGGCAAGAAUACUGGAGAGGAU
rnacentral:lncRNA from 1 species